rnacentral:rRNA from 1 species
CGCUUUCAGCAGGGAAGAAGCGAAGUGACGGUACCUGCAGAAGAAGUACCGGCUAACUACGUGCCAGCAGCCGCGGUAAAAG